UACGUAGGGCGCAAGCGUUGUCCGGAAUUAUUGGGCGUAAAGAGCUCGUAGGCGGUCUGUUACGUCCGCUGUGAAAACCCAGGGCUUAACCCUGGGCUUGCAGUGGAUACGGGCAGACUAGAGGCAGGUAGGGGAGAAUGGAAUUCCGAGUGUAGAGGUGAAAUUCGUAGAUAUUCGGAAGAACACCAGUGGCGAAGGCGACUCACUGGACACAUAUUGACGCUGAGGUGCGAAAGCGUGGGGAGCAAACAGG
rnacentral:rRNA from 1 species